rnacentral:rRNA from 1 species
UGGCGAACGGGUGAGUAACACGUGGGUAAUCUGCCCUGCACUCUGGGAUAAGCCUGGGAAACUGGGUCUAAUACUGGAUAUGACCUUUCUCCUUAUGGGGGUUGGUGGAAAGUUUUUCGGUGUAGGAUGAGCCCGCGGCCUAUCAGCUUGUUGGUGGGGUGAUGGCCUACCAAGGCGACGACGGGUAGCCGGCCUGAGAGGGUGAUCGGCCACAUUGGGACUGAGAUACGGCCCAG